CCUGGCGACAAUAGCGGUUGGAACUGGAACCACCUGAAUCCAUCUCGAACUCAGAAGUGAAACGAACAUGCGCCAAUGAUAGUGUGAGGUUUCCUCAUGUGAAAGUAGGUCAUCGCCAGGG
rfam:Legionella drancourtii LLAP12 genomic scaffold scf_51, whole genome shotgun sequence.